AGUUCGAAUUAUUUUAAUAGCUUCCCUAAUAAAAGGGAAGCUAAAUAUAAUAUAAUUCAUUCGUUUUUGUAAUAAUUUUAUGUUAAUAAUAGAAUGAAAAAUUUGUAAAUAUUUCUAAACUAAUUCUGGAAAUAAUAUUCAGGAUAGAAACGGAACCACGUUUGGGCGGCAGCGUAAAAAUUAAAUCGUACCCUAGUAAUCAUGUAGAAUGUUAAGAAUAUCCAAAAUAUGACGGUUUGUAUCGCGGAGUAUAUGGACAUGCCCAGUAUGAUUUCGUCAAAAACUUCCGCUUUGAGUUGGAACGAAAUUUCCGCUCUGAGAAACGCAGGUGUCCAACCAAACGCAAUGAUGGUCGUAGUUCACAACGCAUUUAUUGCAGCACCUGCAAUGCUUAGUGUCAGGCGGACUUUUUAUAUAGAUUAUACACUUGAACUUGGCAAAGAUGGCAAAAGUCAUCUUCUAUAAUGUUGUAAUGGUCAUCUGUUUUGUUCCAUCUCGGAACUUUCCUAUUUGCCGGCAAUUUUCGAACUAGAUCAGGGGAAACGUCUUUGCUCGAAGCGAUAAAGUAGGUUACCGUGAAAAGAAUCGCGGAAGACAUUCCUACCUUUUCUCCAAUAGUUUUAGGAAAUAAUAAUAUUUUUUUUUGAGCAGUAUAUACCAAUUAAUUGAGUUUAAAUUGUAUUAUGAUGUAUGCGCUCGUAAUGUGUGUUCAACUUUAGUAUACGCAUUAUAAGGUUAUA